CCCGCACAAGCGGUGGAGUAUGUGGUUUAAUUCGAUGCAACGCGAAGAACCUUACCUGGUCUUGACAUCCCGGAGACCCUUAGGAAACUAGGGGGUGCUUCCAUCUGGAAGAAUCUGGAGACAGGUGCUGCAUGGCUGUCGUCAGCUCGUGUCGUGAGAUGUUGGGUUAAGUCCCGCAACGAGCGCAACCCUUGCCUUUAGUUGCCAGCAGUUCGGCUGGGCACUCUAAAGGGACUGCCGGUGUUAAAACCGGAGGAAGGUGGGGAUGACGUCAAGUCCUCAUGGCCUUUAUGACCAGGGCUACACACGUACUACAAUGGCCGAUACAAAGGGCAGCGACACUGCGAGGUGAAGCCAAUCCCGUAAAAUCGGUCUCAGUCCGGAUUGGAGUCUGCAACUCGACUCCAUGAAGUUGGAAUCGCUAGUAAUCGUGGAUCAGCAUGCCACGGUGAAUACGUUCCCGGGCCUC
rnacentral:rRNA from 1 species